rnacentral:rRNA from 1 species
UACGUAGGGACCAAGCGUUGUUCGGAUUUACUGGGCGUAAAGGGCGCGUAGGCGGCGCGGUAAGUCACUUGUGGAAUCUCUGAGCUUAACUCAGAACGGCCAAGUGAUACUGCAGUGCUAGAGUGUGGAAGGGGCAAUCGGAAUUCUUGGUGUAGCGGUGAAAUGCGUAGAUAUCAAGAGGAACACCUGAGGUGAAGACGGGUUGCUGGGCCAACACUGACGCUGAGGCGCGAAAGCCAGGGGAGCAAACGGG